AGUGAACGCUGGCGGUAGGCCUAACACAUGCAAGUCGAACGGCAGCACAGUAAGAGCUUGCUCUUGCGGGUGGCGAGUGGCGGACGGGUGAGGAAUACAUCGGAAUCUACUUUUUCGUGGGGGAUAACGUAGGGAAACUUACGCUAAUACCGCAUACGACCUACGGGUGAAAGCAGGGGAUCUUCGGACCUUGCGCGAUUGAAUGAGCCGAUGUCGGAUUAGCUAGUUGGCGGGGUAAAGGCCCACCAAGGCGACGAUCCGUAGCUGGUCUGAGAGGAUGAUCAGCCACACUGGAACUGAGACACGGUCCAGACUCCUACGGGAGGCAGCAGUGGGGAAUAUUGGACAAUGGGCGCAAGCCUGAUCCAGCCAUACCGCGUGGGUGAAGAAGGCCUUCGGGUUGUAAAGCCCCUUUGUUGGGAAAGAAAAGCAGCAGGUUAAUACCCCGCUGUUCUGACGGUACCCAAAGAAUAAGCACCGGCUAACUUCGUG
rnacentral:rRNA from 1 species